rnacentral:rRNA from 1 species
UUUUACUGGGAUUAGAUACCCCACUAUAGGGAGCCAAAACAUAGAUGAAGCACUAAAACCUUCAGGUUAAAACUUAAAGAGCAUGGCGGCGAGUUUAACUUCUCAGGGGAAUUUACCAGGUAAUUGACAACCCACACGGAACCUCUCUUAGCCUAAAAGUUUGUAUGCCGCCGUCUUCAGAUAACACCUAAGGUAUUAUCUACACUCUAUCAGACAAAAGACAGGUCAUGGUGCAGCCCAUGGCUAAGUGCUAGGUGAGUUACAGUGACUACUUAACUCGGCUACGAAUCUAAAACUAUUUUCGUAAAAGGCGGACUUGAUAGUAAAAUUUACCAGCAGUAGAUUUUGAACUGUAUUUAGACACGUGCACACACCGCCCG